rnacentral:rRNA from 1 species
GACAUCAACGCUGGCGGCAGGUUGAACACAUGCAAGUCGAGCGCCCAGCAAUGGGAGCGGCGGACGGGUGAGUAACACGUGGGAACAUGCCUUUCGGUACGGAACAACUUCGGGAAACUGAAGCUAAUGCCGUAUGCGCCCUUACGGGGAAAGAUUUAUCGCCGAAAGAUUGGCCCGCGUCUGAUUAGCUAGUUGGUGAGGUAACGGCUCACCAAGGCUUCGAUCAGUAGCUGGUUUGAGAGAACGACCAGCCACACUGGGACUGAGACACGGCCCAGACUCCUACGGGAGGCAGCAGUGGGGGAUCUUGGACAAUGGGGGCAACCCUGAUCCAGCCAUGCCGCGUGAGUGAUGAAGGCCUUCGGGUUGUAAAACUCUUUUACCAGGGAAGAUAAUGACUGUACCUGGAGAAUAAGCCCCGGCUAACUUCGUGCCAGCAGCCGCGGUAAUACGAAGGGGGCUAGCGUUGUUCGGAAUUACUGGGCGUAAAGCGCGCGCAGGCGGUUCUUCAAGUUCAGGGGUGAAAGCCCAAAACCUCAACUUUAGAAUUGCCUUUGAAACUGUAGAACUUUGAGUUCCAAAAGAAGUGAACCGGAAUUUCCCAGUGUAAAAGUGAAAAUUCGUAAAAUUUUGGGAAAGAACACCCGUUGGCCAAAGGCGGCUUAACUGGCCUCGUUAACUGAACGCUAGCCCCGACAACCGUGGGG